UUUAAAAAUUAUAUCAAUGCUCAUAUAUGCCCGAGAUAUGGUCGGGUGUCUCUACGGCUAGCCUUAAAUUAGCCACUAUGAGUGAAGGUCUUUAUUUU
rnacentral:ncRNA from 1 species